rnacentral:rRNA from 1 species
CUGGCGGCGUGCCUAAUACAUGCAAGUCGAGCGAACGGAUAAGGAGCUUGCUCCUUUGAAGUUAGCGGCGGACGGGUGAGUAACACGUGGGUAACCUACCUAUAAGACUGGAAUAACUUCGGGAAACCGGAGCUAAUGCCGGAUAACAUUUGGAACCGCAUGGUUCUAAAGUAAAAGAUGGUUUUGCUAUCACUUAUAGAUGGACCCGCGCCGUAUUAGCUAGUUGGUAAGGUAACGGCUUACCAAGGCAACGAUACGUAGCCGACCUGAGAGGGUGAUCGGCCACACUGGAACUGAGACACGGUCCAGACUCCUACGGGAGGCAGCAGUAGGGAAUCUUCCGCAAUGGACGAAAGUCUGACGGAGCAACGCCGCGUGAGUGAUGAAGGUUUUCGGAUCGUAAAACUCUGUUAUUAGGGAAGAACAAAUGUGUAAGUAACUGUGCACAUCUUGACGGUACCUAAUCAGAAAGCCACGGCUAACUACGUGCCAGCAGCCGCGGUAAUACGUAGGUGGCAAGCGUUAUCCGGAAUUAUUGGGCGUAAAGCGCGCGUAGGCGGUUUCUUAAGUCUGAUGUGAAAGCCCACGGCUCAACCGUGGAGGGUCAUUGGAAACUGGGAAACUUGAGUACAGAAGAGGAAAGUGGAAUUCCAUGUGUAGCGGUGAAAUGCGCAGAGAUAUGGAGGAACACCAGUGGCGAAGGCGACUUUCUGGUCUGUAACUGACGCUGAUGUGCGAAAGCGUGGGGAUCAAACAGGAUUAGAUACCCUGGUAGUCCACGCCGUAAACGAUGAGUGCUAAGUGUUAGGGGGUUUCCGCCCCUUAGUGCUGCAGCUAACGCAUUAAGCACUCCGCCUGGGGAGUACGACCGCAAGGUUGAAACUCAAAGGAAUUGACGGGGACCCG